rnacentral:rRNA from 1 species
CAAUGCUCGCACAGUUCCAUCCAUCUCGUGCCAACAUACAUAGCCAAAGCACUCGAACGCGUAUAGAAAACAUGUCGAGUCCUCUGCUUGUUGCAAUGGCCGCGGCGGCAAUCGUCGUCGCCUGCUGUUUAGCGGCGUGUCCGGUCGGCGCGGGCGCGAGCGCUGGUGACUUCUACGACAACUUCGUGGUGAAGUGGGGCACGGACCCAGACCCCGACCGGCGGGUCGAGAUCGUCGACGGCGGGCGGCUGGUGACGCUCACCCUCAACAACGUCUCCGGCGCCGGGUUCCAGUCCCGGGACGCCUUCCUCUUCGGCGAGUUCACCAUGGAGAUGAAGCUCGUGCCGGGCGACUCGGCCGGCACGGUCACCACCUUCUACCUGACAUCCAAGGACCCGACGGCGGCGGGGGACGGGCACGACGAGAUCGACUUCGAGUUCCUGGGCAACGUCAGCGGGGAGCCGUACCUGAUGCAGACCAACGUGUUCGCCCAGGGGGUCGGGGGCAGGGAGCAGCGGUCCUACCUGUGGUUCGACCCGACAGAGGACUUCCACAACUACACCAUCCUCUGGAACCCUCUGAACAUCAUGUACGUGCUCAUCGACGUGUCCCCCAUGCACGCAUCUAAUCAUUCAUUCAUUUCUUGCAUAUUUAAAUAUAUCAUUCGAAUCUUGCAAAUAUGUGAUGUUUCUAACGUUGUGUUGUCUCAGCCAAGCUAGCUAGUAGCUGAAAAUUAAGCAGGCGUGAGCCCGACGAUAAGUACAUGAAGACCAAACGCGAGAGGACAAAUGUUUGUGCCUGGAGACGACUCUUUCAACGCGUGUUCACGCAUGAAAAUAUGACCGUUUAGCUGAACUUGCCGGCCCGAAAUAUCAUAUACGUAUGGGCUUGCGCGCACCAAGUUUUUGGGCCUUCCUCCCUGGUUUGUCCUAGGCCCGUUUACUCACAAGAUAUUUUUUCCCGUUCUCAGAAAAAAAUAUCUCUUCUUCUCAAAAAGAAAAAAAGGAAAAAUAUAUCUCAAAAAAAUUACACGGUCUUUCCUUUUUUCUUUUCUUUGCGAACCUCCUCCUCUGCCCUCUCAAAUUCAUUUUUCUGAAACAACGAGCCUCCUCCUCUGUCCUCUCGAAAAAGAUAAAGCGAUGAUUUGUCUCAAAUAAAAGUAUGCAAAAAUGGAAGGCGACUAGUAUGUUUCGUUUCGGUCAGAAGGUAGGAGAGCUAGAGCACGUAAGACUCAAAAAAUUCGUCCAAAUUAAACAACCAUUUUAUAGGAACCUUUCACUGUCGGUUUGGAGCCGAGGAAGGUAGAAAAGACUUGAACAGCAACUUGAUACUCCGGCCAUCUGUGAGACGAUAUCAUUCUAAACCCUCUCGGAAAGAGGGCUUAAUUUAGCCGCGUCGGCAUAUUUGGAAGCACGAGAGCACCACCUGUCCCAGCCAGCUGCUCUUUCAAACGAAGAAGCGAUCGAGGAAAACGUGAGGAGGCACAUGAGGUGCCUGCGCAGGUAACAUGCACGUCAACUUAGCCCCUAAACAAACCAGCUAAUGAUGCGAUAAUCGUACUGGUACGCGGAGUCAAAUGCUAGAUUCUGCCAAAACAGAAAUUUUUUACCCGGCAUCUGAAUCAAAAUCUCGGCAAAUUCAAUAGCACCCAAGGCCAGUUGGCCCAUCCAUGCAUCCAGGCAUCUUCUCAUCACUGCACUGACCGAAUUAAUGCAUCGGAUCUCCUGCAUCUGUCUGACAAUUUGUUUCCGUCGAUGCUCUGUUUUCCAGCUUCUCUGUGGACGGCGUGCCGGUGCGCGUGUUCCGGAACCACGACGCGAACGGCGUGCCGUACCUGAGCAGGCAGGCGAUGAAGGUGCACGCCACCAUCUGGGACGGCGACACCUGGGCCACCCGCGGCGGCCGGGUCAAGAUCGACUGGGCGCACGCGCCCUUCGUCGCCUCCUACGGGACCUACGCCUCCAGCGCCUGCGUCUCCGCGGCCGGCAACGGCGAUCAGGACGGAGCGCCGUCGGCCUUCUGCUGCCCGGGCGACGCCUCGUCGUGGAUGGCCCGGCGGCUGGGGCCCGACGGCGAGCGCGCGGUGGCGUGGGCGCGCGACACGUACAUGGUGAUGGACUACUGCGACGACCCCUGGAACCUGGGCCGCCCCGCCGAGUGCGACAUGGACCAGCUCGCCUCUGCCGUCUGAUUGUUCGGUUCCGUCGGCCAUACUACCGCACACGUGUCGUCGUGUUAUUAGACGAGACAGACGUACGGUGUUUGUGUUGGUGCUUCUAGCGUAGCCUGCUAGGUCGUCUCACUCAAGAUGUGACGUGUAGGCGUAGCGUAUAUAAUACAGGAUCUAACCAGGAGUUUCUCUAGCGGAUCGUAGUAAGGAUGAUUCCUGCAGAAACCUGCCCCUGCUGUAACCUGUAGCCGAGUAAUUCAUGCAUAUACAGACGCUGAGAUAAGAUUAACUCAUUUCUCGACAUCUUGAGCCUGGAAGAAGAGCAAACUGGCCAAAAAAAUUGCUCUGUGUGUCAUAUAAAUGUUGAUACAAGUGGAGGAAAGGGGAGGACGUUCAGAAACCCAAUGAAAGAAUCAAG